rnacentral:rRNA from 1 species
GGCCCUACGGGGCGCAGCAGGCGCGAAAACUCCGCAAUGCGCGGAAAGCGCGACGGGGUCAUCCCGAGUGCCGUCCGCUGAGGGCGGCUUUUGCCUGGUCUAACUAGCCGAGUGAAUAAGGGGAGGGCAAGCCUGGUGUCAGCCGCCGCGGUAAUACCAGCUCCUCGAGUGGUUGGGACGAUUAUUGGGUCUAAAGCGUCCGUAGCCGGCCGGAAAAGUCUCUCCGUUAAAUCCAACGAUCCAAUCGUUGGGCUGCGGGGAAUACUCUUCGGCUUGGGGCGAGGGAGGUCGGCGGUAGUCUCGGGGUAGGGGCGAAAUCCUAUAAUCCCGAGAGGACCACCAGUGGCGAAGGCGGCCGACUAAAGCGCGCCCGACGGUGAGGGACGAAAGCUGGGGGAGCGAACGGGAUUAGAUACCCCGGUAGUCCCAGCUGUAAACGAUGCAGGCUAGGUGUUGGGACGGCCACGAGCUGUCCCAGUGCCGCAGGGAAGCCAUUAAGCCUG